UCGUGCUAGGCGGGGAGCUAGCGGUGCCCCAUGACCCGAAAUCCGCUCAUGCGGGGUCGAACGUCCUUCGGAGAACCCUGAUUCGGGAUGUCUCAAACCAUUCGAGGGAAGGAGAUGGACCUCACGUGACAGACACUUAUGAACCCCGUCAGGUCCGGGAGGAAGCAGCGGUAAAUAAGAAAGUUUGUGUCGUGAUGAAAUCUAUCUCUGAUCUCCCGGUGGGGCGGAUGUGCCGUUCCUGGUUUGAAGAGGGAUGCACGG
rnacentral:SRP_RNA from 1 species